GUAGGGAAUCUUCCACAAUGGACGCAAGUCUGAUGGAGCAACGCCGCGUGAGUGAAGAAGGUUUUCGGAUCGUAAAGCUCUGUUGUUGGUGAAGAAGGAUAGAGGCAGUAACUGGCCUUUAUUUGACGGUAAUCAACCAGAAAGUCACGGCUAACUACGUGCCAGCAGCCGCGGUAAUACGUAGGUGGCAAGCGUUGUCCGGAUUUAUUGGGCGUAAAGCGAGCGCAGGCGGAAGAAUAAGUCUGAUGUGAAAGCCCUCGGCUUAACCGAGGAAUUGCAUCGGAAACUGUUUUCUUGAGUGCAGAAGAGGAGAGUAGAACUCCAUGUGUAGCGGUGGAAUGCGUAGAUAUAUGGAAGAAUACCAGUGGCGAAGGCGGCUCUCUGGUCUGCAACUGACGCUGAGGCUCGAAAGCAUGGGUAGCGAACAGGAUUAGAUACCCUGGUAGUCCAUGCCGUAAACGAUGAGUGCUAAGUGUUGGGAGGCUUCCGCCUCUCAGUGCUGCAGCUAACGCAUUAAGCACUCCGCCUGGGGGAGUACGACCGCAAGGUUGAAAC
rnacentral:rRNA from 1 species